GGGUACAUACAUGGGUCCCUGGGGUACGGAGGUCACUGGUGGGAGUGUCGGGUACAUACAUGGGUCCCUGGGGUACAGAGGUGGGCGUGUCGGGUACAUACAUGGGUCCCUGGGGUACGGAGGUCACUGGUGGGAGUGUCGGGUACAUACAUGGGUCC